rnacentral:lncRNA from 1 species
UAUCAUCACUCUUAAAAAAGAAAAAGAGGAAUUUUAGAAGGAAAAAAGAAAAAAGAAAAGGGCAAAAGCAAGAUUGAGGAAAGUAAUUUUCACUUUUUUGAGGAAAUUAAUGCAAUUAAAAUGUUAACGCAUCUAUCGAGUUGAUUACAAAAAAACACCGUCUAUUUGCUAAAAAAUAAUAUCGAAGGAAACAUGCAAGCUGUCAAAUGUGGUUCACGUGUACAGUCAAUCAUGUUCGUCCAGUGAACCCACAUUUUUUUUUUCUUUAAACAUUUAAAAGCAUUUUGUUAAAUGAAGUUUAAGUCAAACAAUGGCAUCUGGAGAUGCGGAUAAUUAUUAUAUAUUAUAAAUUCUAAUUAAAGAGUGCAUGUUCAGGCAUUAUCUCUACCGUAAAAGAAUUUCAUUUUCAUCAACUAGCCAUUUAUUCGUUUCCAUCAACUCGUUGGUCAUUUCUUCAUUUCUUGCAUGCCUGCCAAUGAAAAAAUAGUUCUGUAAGUCACAUCUCUUCUCUAUCACAAAACACGCGCGCGCGCACACACACACAUGUAUAUAGUGCGGACAACCUCAUUUUUUUUUUAUCCGGCCACACUAUAAAAUUUUGUGAUUUAAUAGAGUUAAUGCAAGUACACUAUAAUAACAUAUCCACAAUAAAUAAAAUAAAAGAACCCGUACAUAUAUAAUCAUUUUAUAGUG